GUCAGUAGCUAUACCACCUGUGGUUCAUGCCAGGUAAUCCACCUGAAACUAAGCAGGCUUGGGGCCUGACCAGUACUUAGAUGGGAGACCACUAGGAAAGCUGGGUUGCUGCUGAAA
rnacentral:rRNA from 1 species